rnacentral:rRNA from 1 species
AGUGAACGCUGGCGGCGUGCUUAACACAUGCAAGUCGAACGAGAACGGGAUAUAGCUUGCUAUAUUUGUCAGCUAAGUGGCGCACGGGUGAGUAAUGUAUAGAUAACCUGCCUCUAGAAAGGGAUAACAGUUGGAAACGACUGCUAAUGCCCUAUAUGCCUUUAAUACAUAAGUAUGCAAGGGAAACGCUUUAGUGCUAGAGGAUGGGUCUGUAUGGUACCAGCUUGUUGGUGAGGUAAUGGCUCACCAAGGCUAUGACGCCUAACUGGUUUGAGAGGAUGAUCAGUCACACUGGAACUGAGACACGGUCCAGACUCCUACGGGAGGCAGCAGUGGGGAAUAUUGCACAAUGGACGAAAGUCUGAUGCAGCAACGCCGCGUGGAGGAUGACACAUUUCGGUGCGUAAACUCCUUUUAUAUAGGAAGAUAAUGACGGUACUAUAUGAAUAAGCACCGGCUAACUCCGUGCCAGCAGCCGCCGUAA